AGACCCCACUGUGGGAUUAUUCAGACUACAGAGAGCCCGCGCCUCCCCCCCCUCCCCCGGGGCUCAGAGAUGAGCCAGUACUGGAUGCUCAGUUUCCCAGCGAUCUCAGGAGCAGUUUGGCUGCAUUACUCUGUCUCCGAAUCCAUCGUGAUGGUCCAGUCAGGAUGCUGACCAAGGCUGGGGUCAUGGGAAGGCUUGACUGAGGAUGGAGGGUCGCCUUUGAAGAACUCUCACACAGCCGGCUUGAGUUUCUGGUGAUGGACGUUUCCCAAACGUUGUACGUUACCUGCACAAGGCUUGAUUCAUUCGGCAAAAGCUGCACCAGUACAUCUCUUUGAGAUCCUACACUUGUUUACUUCGUGUCUAUUAGACUUUGCGGGGUUUGAUGCAGCUCAGUCCGUGACAGAACCCGAGCCCAGCAUAAGGGGAUGAAUGGACGAGUCUGGGUAAAACUGAUCCUCUCCCUAUGGAUCAGCGAAUGCACCUGCAGUGUGGAAAUAUGAAGACUGUCUCAGAAGGUUAUUGGGUGAGAAGCUGAAUGUGUACGAGGCCCCCUAACUUCAGGGCCCGGGGAAGCUCAUACUAUGAAGCUCUCAUCUCGAGGGUUGGAUGGGAUGUAUGGUUACUCUCCGCAGGGUCAUCAUAUGUGAAGCCCACCUUUAUGCUGGGGAGAUCAAAACUUGGUGUUGAGCUGCGGCUUUUAUAUGUAUGUAAAAGUUUAAAAAAUGACUGGAUUUGUUACUGCACAUUUAUAGCUAUUCUGAUGGUGGGCUGGUCAUUUUUAUAAGAGUAACAAAAUGGCGCUGGAGAAAUGUCUCAGCCGCUGACAGCACCAGCUGCUCUUCAGAGGACCUGGGUUCAGUUCCCAUCUCCACAUGGUGGCUCUCAGCCAUCUGAGCUCCAGUCUAGGGGAUCCCAUGCCCUCCUUGGGAUUCCAUGGGCACCAGGCCAUGCACAUGUUGUAUAUACAUAUGUGUAGGCAAAACACU